GACGAACGCUGGCGGCGUGCUUAACACAUGCAAGUCGAGCGGAGCGGCGAAGGGGUGAGUAACGCGGGAGUAAGUGCCCCCCUCUCUGGGAUAACAGUUGGAAACGGCUGCUAAUACAGGAUAGUGGGGGAUGACUCGCGUCCAAUCAGCUUGUGGGUGGGGUAGUGGCCUACCAAGGCGACGAAGGGUAGCCGGCCUGAGGGGGCGACCGGCCACAUUGGUCUGAGAUACGGCCCAAACUCCUACGGGCGGCAGUAGUGGGGAAUAUUGCACCAUGGGGGAAACCCUGAUGCAUCAACGCCGCGUGCGGGAUGACGGCCUUCGGGUUGUAAACCGCUUUCAGCCAUGACGCGGUAGUGGCAGAAGAAGCACCGGCUAACUACGUGCCAGCAGCCGCGGUAAUAC
rnacentral:rRNA from 1 species